rnacentral:rRNA from 1 species
AUUGAACGCUGGCGGCAUGCCUAACACAUGCAAGUCGAACGAGUGGCGGACGGGCGAGUAAUGUCUGGGAAACUGCCCGAUGGAGGGGGAUAACUACUGGAAACGGUAGCUAAUACCGCAUACCAUCGGAUGUGCCCAGAUGGGAUUAGCUAGUAGGUGGGGUAAUGGCUCACCUAGGCGACGAUCCCUAGCUGGUCUGAGAGGAUGACCGGCCACACUGGAACUGAGACACGGUCCAGACUCCUACGGGAGGCAGCAGUGGGGAAUAUUCCACAAUGGGCGAAAGCCUGAUGCAGCCAUGCCGCGUGUAUGAAGAAGGCCUUCGGGUUGUAAAGUACUUUCAGCGAGGAGGCGUUACUCACAGAAGAAGCACCGGCUAACUCCGUGCCAGCCGCCGCGGUAAUUC